rnacentral:misc_RNA from 1 species
UCAUAACUCGAUAGUCCACGUAAACCCACCCUUCUCUAGAUUACAGCAUGUGUACUGCCGUUGUAAGCACACCUCUAAAAGAUAGUAUGCCACCAUGACUACUAACCCACAUACAUCAGGUCAAAGUGCAGCUUAUAAGAAGGUGAUGAUGGGUUACAACCCAAAUAAAGAUAUAAACUAAGAAAUAAAAAAUCUUACGAAAGCGGACUUGGCCGUAAUCCAUUCUAAAUUAAAGAAAUGAACACAACCUAAGACAUGUACACAUCGCCCGUCACUCUACCCUAAAGGCUAGACAAGUCGUAACAAAGUAGGCGUAAUGGAAAUUGCGCCUGUCGAAGUAUAGCAUAUUAAUGCUUUUUACUUACACUAAAAAAAAAGUUAUAAAGACUUGCUUCGCCCAAAACACCACAUCUUAUUAAUAUCAAUAAUACAAACAUUUAAACACAAGUAAUAUAAAAGUACAGAAAUGGAAUCAAUAAUAAAUAAAAGUAAAUUUUAAUAACUGUACCUUGUGCAUUAUGGUUUUACAAGAAAAUAAUUAAAUACAAGAUCCCGAAUUCUAAGUGAGAUGUCAAAUUACUGUUAUGAACCCACUAAUAACUGUAGAAUAAGUUUUAAAAGACAGUUUGACAGAGGCUACAUACCAUGCGCACAAGAAUAUAGCUGGUUUUCAGCAAACAUUAUAUAUUAAAGCAUAUAAUAUAAUUAUAGUGUUAUAUUAUCGAGGAUAAGUCCGAUAAUAAUAGUAAUAUAGAACUAACCACAAUUCCUUUAUAAGCCUAAAAACAGCUAACUAAAACACUUUACCGUAAUAGAUACAGAUAAAAUAUUAAAAAAUUUAUACUACAAAAGCUGAAAUAAUGGAUUAAUACUCUUACCCACCUAUAUUAUGUAAAAAUAAGUAUUUAAUAAUCAUCCCUGAUAUACACUAGUAAUAACAAACCAUAAAAAAAUAUAAUUAAUUAAGGAACUCGGCAAAUUAUCAUUUCGACUGUUUAAC